GACUCAAAACGCGUGUGUUUGCUCCAGCACCAGUUAGUGUCAGAGGGAGGGAGAGAAGGCAGGAGGAGCCAGCGAGAAACAAGCAAAAUAUUAUCUUUGCACGCACGAGAAUGGCAUCCUUUCUCCACCUCUUUUAGGCAAAUCGGGGUUUCAGAGGUCAGCAAAAGCGGAGGGAUGCAGGACUGGCAGGUGUUUAGAAAGGACUUGAAGUUGCAGGGAGGACUUGGAAGGAGGCGUCCCACUUACGCCCCGCUUGGAGAAGGGAGUGGAAAAGCAGAGCGCCUGUCCUGGCAGAGUAUACGGUGAGCAAGAGGAAACUGCUGGCCCAAGGUAGAUCAAGUGGGAGCCCUUCCAACUAGGUGAAAAAAGACGGGGGCUGCCCUUGACCUUUAGCAGGUGCUGUGUAGAAGGGCCCUUAGUCUCCUCUUCUUGAGGCUAAACGUAUACAGUUCCUGAAGCCACUCUACAUUUUGGCCUUUCUUUGGAUGCAGUCCAGCUUGUCAAUAUCCUUCUUGAACCAGAAAUGGACACAAUAUUCCAGGCACCCUGUUCUGACACCAGAAGAUGUGACAGCUUGCAGAAAGUUCUGUAGCCAAUGGGGAGCUGUAAACUGUAAGCUGAAUGGGAUACAAAAAUCCCAACCUGGCUCUGUUUUGCAAGGAAUGCCAUGACCAAAGUGCACCUUAUAAAAGUAUUCCACUUACAAGAACAAGAAUAAUGGAGGCAGACUACACACAGAAUAUUUGUUGGCAUGGUCAACAAGAAACUCCCAGACCAAUAUGUACCAGUUUUGACUAAAGAGAUCCAGAUAUCAUGCAGUACAGCUGCCACUUUGGAACACCAUCCUGCUUUGAUGCAACUAUGAACUCAGCCCCUGAUUCCUCUUUCAGAGUUCUGGCAGCAGCAACCCUAAUUAAAACAUGUGGUAUUUAAAUUUUA